rnacentral:rRNA from 1 species
AUUGAACGCUGGCGGCAUGCCUAACACAUGCAAGUCGAACGAGUGGCGGACGGGUGCGUAAUGUCUGGGAAACUGCCUGAUGGAGGGGGAUAACUACUGGAAACGGUAGCUAAUACCGCAUACCAUCAGAUGUGCCCAGAUGGGAUUAGCUUGUUGGUGGGGUAACGGCUCACCAAGGCUACGCUCCCUAGCUGGUCUGAGAGGAUGACCAGCAACACUGGAACGGGGACACGGGCCAGACUCCUACGGAAGGCAGAAGAGGGAAAUAUUGCAAAAUGGGCGCAAGCCGGAUGCAGCCAGGCCGCGUGUAGGAAGAGGGCCUUCGGGUUGUAAAGUACUGUCAGCGGGGAGGCGUUACCCGCAGAAGAAGCACCGGCUAACUCCGUGCCAGCAGCCGCGGUAAUAC